rnacentral:lncRNA from 1 species
CUCUCUCUCUCUCUCUCUCCUUCUUCGCAAACACAAAUGUCUCCCUCUCGCAACAUCCCCGCUUGGCUCCGCCCUACCUCCGAUCAUCCUCCUCCUCAUCCUCCGCAGUCACCGUCUCCCCUAGUCUCCGGCGACCCGAACCUCACAACGUGCCUAUACCAAACGGAUCACGGCGUGUUCUACCUCACAUGGUCACGCACUUUCUUAGGAGGCCACUCUCUAAACCUCUUCCUCCACUCACAAGACUACUACAACCGCUCCUCCCCUCUCUCCUUCUCCUCCGCCGACCUCUCCCUCUCCUCCGCCGUCUCCUUCCACCUCAACUUAAACACACUCGCCUUCUGGCGAAGACGCGGAUCCAGAUCCGUCUCCCCGAAAAUCCAAGUCUUCUGGGACCUGACCCGCGCCAAAUUCGACUCCGGAUCCGAGCCUAGAUCCGGCUUCUACAUCGCGGUGGUCGUCGACGGAGAGAUGGGGCUGUUAGUCGGAGACUCGGUCAAGGAGGCGUACUCUCGCGUCAAAUCGGCGAAACCGCCGACGAAUCCUCAAGCUCUCCUGCUGAGGAAGGAGCACGUGUUCGGCGCUAGGGUUUUCUCGACGAAGGCGAGGUUCGGAGGGAAGAGCAGGGAGAUCUCGAUCGAUUGCCGCGUGGACGAGGACGCGAGGCUGUGCUUCAGCGUGGACUCGAAGCAGGUGCUGCAGAUCAAGCGGCUGAGGUGGAAGUUCAGAGGGAACGAGAAAGUGGAGAUCGACGGCGUUCCCGUUCAGAUCUCCUGGGACGUUUACAAUUGGCUGUUCCAACAGAGCAAAUCGUCAGGAGAGGGAGGGCACGCGGUGUUCAUGUUCAGGUUCGAGAGCGAUCCCGAAGCUGAGGAGGAGGAGGAACAAGAGAGGAGUAAAAAUAAAAACGACGUCGUUGUGUGGAAGCCGAAGCCGAAGCCGAAGCAGAAGCAGUGUGGGAGCAGCUUGGGGAUUAAAGGGAUCGCCGAGUGGAGGAAGAUGAAGAGGAGGUUCGUUAAGAGCAAGAGGAGCUCUUCGUCUUCGUCGAUCUCCAUGUCUUCCGCUCAUAGCUUAGCUCUUUGUUCGUGAUUCGACCGAACCAAUUAUUUUUGUUCCCAGCAGCAUAAGGGAUGCAUCAUAAAUUGUCUUCCGAAAUUAGCAAUAGACUAGAGAAUAAUGAUCACACUAAUGUGAUAUAAAGGACGGUUUAAGAUUAAACUCCUAAUACGUUGUCAAUGCCAUUUAUAUACCAAUUUAAGAGUUUACACACAAUUAGACGUAUAUAUAUGUCCAGCAUCAAACAAUAGCGAGUAUUAUUACAAGUGUAGAUAAUCAGAUACGAAAUAGAAUACAGAGUAUUUUAAAUUUUUAUCACUUUUUAGGUUCUAUAAUGUGAAAUAAUGGAUAGUCUAUUGAUUAUGUUCUCCAAAGACUCCAAUGAAGAGUCAAGUGUGCAAGCAGUUAUCAUAUCAUGUUCCUCAUAGCUGAACAACUAAACAAUGUUCUAGGGACCCUAAUCUCUACACACUUUUUACAGCCUGAAAAAAAAAAGACGAAGCAAUAUAUUACCAAAGUGUUGGUGGUUACAUAUGGAAACAAUCAACGCUACAAAAAUUACAGAUAGGUUACAGUUAAACCGUGUUCUACACACGACAAACAAGGGGGAUGAAUAUGUGUAUCAGCUGAAUCUAUCUAUCAUCAUCCCACUAAGAAAGUCAAGUUUGAAAAAGUCAGUUUACAAGUUCUAUCAAUUUUUAUUCUUUUGGCAGCCUGCAUCCAAUUUUUGUUACGUAUGAUUCGAGCUAAACAUCAUUUUAUAAACCAUUCCAUUUUACGAGUUAACAAAAAAAAACUAUAUAAUAAAAAACCAUCUCGAGAAAAAAAAAAGGAAAGAAAUAAAACCUCCCAAUACAACUCCCUAAAAAAUCUCUCUUCUUCUUCGCAAACAGAAAUGUCUCCCUCUCGCAACAUCCCCGCUUGGCUCCGCCCUACCUCCGAUCAUCCUCCUCAUCCUCCGCCUCCACAGUCACCGUCUCCUUUAGUCUCCGGCGACCCGAACCUCACAACGUGCCUAUACCAAACGGAUCACGGCGUGUUCUACCUCACAUGGUCACGCACUUUCUUAGGAGGCCACUCUCUAAACCUCUUCCUCCACUCACAAGACUACUACAACCGCUCCUCCCCUCUCUCCUUCUCCUCCGCCGACCUCUCCCUCUCCUCCGCCGUCUCCUUCCACCUCAACUUAAACACACUCGCCUUCUGGCGAAGACGCGGAUCCAGAUCCGUCUCCCCGAAAAUCCAAGUCUUCUGGGACCUGACCCGCGCCAAAUUCGACUCCGGAUCCGAGCCUAGAUCCGGCUUCUACAUCGCGGUGGUCGUCGACGGAGAGAUGGGGCUGUUAGUCGGAGACUCGGUCAAGGAGGCGUACUCUCGCGUCAA